GACGUAGGGCGCGAGCGUUGUCCGGAAUUACUGGGCGUAAAGAGCUCGUAGGUGGUUUGUCGCGUUGUUCGUGAAAACCGGGGGCUUAACCCUCGGCGUGCGGGCGAUACGGGCAGACUUGAGUACUGCAGGGGAGACUGGAAUUCCUGGUGUAGCGGUGGAAUGCGCAGAUAUCAGGAGGAACACCCGUGGCGAAGGCGGCUCUCUGGGACGGUACUGACGCUGAGACGCGAAAGCCAGGGGAGCAAACGGG
rnacentral:rRNA from 1 species